UACGGGGGGGGCAAGCGUUGUUCGGAAUUACUGGGCGUAAAGGGCUCGUAGGCGGCCAACUAAGUCCGACGUGAAAUCCCCAGGCUUAACCUGGGAACUGCGUCGGAUACUGGAUGGCUUGAAUUCGGGAGAGGGAUGCAGAAUUCCAGGUGUAGCGGUGAAAUGCGUAGAUAUCUGGGAGAUACCGGUGGCGAAGGCGGCAUCCUGGACCGACAUUGACGCUGAUGAGCGAAAGCUAGGGGAGCAAACGGG
rnacentral:rRNA from 1 species